AGCCUCUUUGAUUGGAAGGAACCCCUUCCGGCCAAGGAGGUUGGGUAACCUCUUCGACUGGAAGGACUCCUUCCGGCCAAGGAGGGUGUGUAACCUCUUUGACCGGAAGGCAUUCCUUCUGAUCAAAGAGGUUAUGUACUCCUUGGCCCGAAGGGGUUCCUUCUGAUUGAAGAGGCU
rnacentral:miRNA from 1 species